rnacentral:lncRNA from 1 species
UCGUCACAAAAAGAAUUGUUUUUGUUAUUAUUAAAAUAAUAAUAAAAAGAAAAGAUAAAAAUUGAUAAGUUUUUGAAGCAUAAAUGAAGAUAUAAUUGUAAUUCUAUGAUUAACCAUUGUCAUUAUGAAUCUAUUAGGGAAACAAUGGUUUUAUUUUCAAUACGGCAAGUGUCAUUAAACUGAAGAAAAAACUUUUGCCCUCAUCCUUGGAAGUAUGCUUUGUUCAAACUGAAAUAUAUUUCUUAGUAUAAAAUCCAUUCUCCAAAAUUAACAAUUUUUAAAAGGCAUGCAUGGACGAAAGCAUUGGACAUUUGAAAACCUUUUAUAACAGGGGUGAAGAAUGUGCAAUCUCCGUUGACGCUUUGAUAAAGAGUGCUUUCUUUCACGUCCGCAUUUCUAUUAAGUAUGGCAUGCCGGGUUAACAUUUUAAUGAUUACUACAGAUUGGAGAAAUGAAUAACAGAACAGUGCACAAUAACGUACAAUAACAUACAUUGUUAUUCGUAGGAGAUAAGAGAAACUACGUGAUACUUUUAAUCUUUUUUUUUUAUUAUUUAAGAUGGCAUGGUGUAUAUUGUCCAUAAUAUUUAUAUCCAAU